rnacentral:SRP_RNA from 2 species
GCCGGGCAUGGUGGCUCAUGUCUGUAAUCCCAGCACUUUAGGAGGCAGAGGUGGGUGGAUCACCUGAGGUCAGGAGUUCUAGACCAGCCUGGCCAACAUGGUGAAACCCCAUCUCUA